GUGGGGAAUAUUGGACAAUGGGCGAAAGCCUGAUCCAGCAAUGCCGCGUGAGUGAUGAAGGCCUUAGGGUUGUAAAGCUCUUUUACCAGGGAUGAUAAUGACAGUACCUGGAGAAUAAGCUCCGGCUAACUCCGUGCCAGCAGCCGCGGUAAUACGGAGGGAGCUAGCGUUGUUCGGAAUUACUGGGCGUAAAGCGCGCGUAGGCGGCUCAGCAAGUCAGGGGUGAAAUCCCGGGGCUCAACCCCGGAACUGCCUUUGAAACUGCUAGGCUAGAAUCCUGGAGAGGCGAGUGGAAUUCCGAGUGUAGAGGUGAAAUUCGUAGAUAUUCGGAAGAACACCAGUGGCGAAGGCGACUCGCUGGACAGGUAUUGACGCUGAGGUGCGAAAGCGUGGGGAGCAAACAGGAUUAGAAACCCUGGUAGUCC
rnacentral:rRNA from 1 species